rnacentral:sRNA from 1 species
UCCAGCGGGUCAACAUACCUUUAACCCCUCUAUUAUCGAACGGGUCAACACCCCUUCAACCCCCUCUGCCA